rnacentral:rRNA from 1 species
GAUGAACGCUGGCGGCGUGCCUAAUACAUGCAAGUCGAGCGAACGGACGAGAAGCUUGCUUCUCUGAUGUUAGCGGCGGCCGGGUGAGUAACACGUGGAUAACCUACCUAUAAGACUGGGAUAACUUCGGGAAACCGGAGCUAAUACCGGAUAAUAUUUUGAACUGCAUUGUUCAAAAGUUAAAUACGGUCUUGCUGUCACUUAUAGAUGGAUCCGCGCUGCAUUAGCUAGUUGGUAAGGUAACGGCUUACCAAGGCAACGAUGCAUAGCCGACCUGAGAGGGUGAUCGGGCACACUGGAACUGAGCCACGGUCCAGCCUCCUACGGGAGGCAGCAGUAGGGAAUCUUCCGCAAUGGGCGAAAGCCUGACGGAGCAACGCCGCGUGAGUGAUGAAGGUCUUCGGAUCGUAAAACUCUGUUAUUAGGGAAGAACAUAUGUGUAAGUAACUGUGCACAUCUUGACGGUACCUAAUCAGAAAGCCACGGCUAACUACGUG